rnacentral:rRNA from 1 species
UACGGGGGGAGCAAGCGUUGUUCGGAUUUACUGGGCGUAAAGGGCGCGUAGGCGGCCACCGCAAGUCGACUGUGAAAUCUCCGGGCUUAACCCGGAAAGGUCAGCCGAUACUGCGGGGCUAGAGUGCAGAAGGGGCAACUGGAAUUCUCGGUGUAGCGGUGAAAUGCGUAGAUAUCGAGAGGAACACCUGCGGCGAAGGCGGCUCACUGGCUCGUAACUGACGCUCAGGCGCGACAGCGUGGGGAUCAAACAGG